UACGAAGGAUGCAAGCGUUAUCCGGAUUUAUUGGGUUUAAAGGGUGCGUAGGCGGACUUAUAAGUCAGUGGUGAAAUCUCGUUGCUUAACAACGAACGUGCCAUUGAUACUGUAGGUCUUGAGUACAGAUGCCGUUGGCGGAAUGUGUCAUGUAGCGGUGAAAUGCAUAGAUAUGACACAGAACACCGAUUGCGAAGGCAGCUGACGAAGCUAUCACUGACACUGAUGCACGAAAGCGUGGGGAGCAAACAGG
rnacentral:rRNA from 1 species